AAUGACAUCCCCGAGGCAGGUGCCAUCCAUCAGGAGAUCACUUCAUGUCGCUUCCCUUCCGCUGUAAUGCCUGUGCAACAGCAGUGACCACUUCUCACAGGUGCAGUAACCACUGUCACUCAUUACUGAUGCUCCACUGAUGAGUCAGCAGCCAACCCUGGCACAGCACAACCAGGUCACUUAAACAUGAAGCGCCAAAGGCUAGCCGGACAGGUACCCAAGGUCUGAUAACCUGCGGUCGGAACAGCCCACAACCCCACAGUCUGGUUAGGAAAGCAUUACCAACAGAACGCCGUCUGCUGGAGUGUCCCCUACGUCCCAUGGCUGUCCUGGUUCUCCUAGGUGACCUGGAGGUCCUAUUUGCCAGUCCUGGUUCACCUGUUCACUAGCGUUUCUAGUGGGUCCAUUUGCCACUGUAGCGGAGUAGGAAGUAAGGCAAGAAAGCCUCUUACAGGCCAAGUGAACAAGCAUGAUAAUCCCCUCUGUGUCUGCUCUGCAACUACAGCUAAUCCAUACUCUGAUAAUCCUACAGGUGAGUCUUCACAAUACUCAUGAACACACAUCUCGCUAACGUAUACAUAUGCACAUAUACACGCACACGCACAUUGACAGUGUAUCAUACACACACUCUCUUACACGCAAAGGUGAACAUACAACUCUUUACGCUGGAACACAUGCAAGGCCCCCACAUGCAGCUACUCCCCUGCCCACAGUCACAUGUUUGCAGCAGUGUUCAUGUACAUGCUCUUUUCAGGCAUGCCAUGUCCAUACAUGCAUGUGUUGUGUGUUCUACAGCAUGCGUGUGUUUACAUAGUGGACGAUUGGCGUAAAGACCCCAGUGCAUAGCGAUGUGUCUUCAUCACCACGGUCUGACAUGAGUGGUCACAUUUCUACCUACAAGCACAUGCAGUGAAGGGGUUAAUUCCCGUUUAGCAUUCAUCACUCCAGGCCCCAAGGAGCUACAGCGUAUUCAGGGUCAGCAGCAGUAAUAUUAUAUCUUAACCUUUUCAGACAAGAUCCAGAGACACUCAGUAACUAGACAUUGUAGCUCUUGAGGGCCGGAGGUUGGCAGACAGCUGCUCCUAGCUGUUGCGCAUGGCCACAUGCACCUUGGGACUCCGGAAACAGAUGGGGCG